rnacentral:RNase_P_RNA from 1 species
CGAGUCGACCGGGCGGUCGCGUCGGUGGGCCAGCGGGCCCGCCGCCGAGGAACGUCCGGACUCCAUAGGGCAGGGUGGUUGCUAACGGCAACCCGGGGCGACCCGCGGGACAGUGCCACAGAAAACAAACCGCCACGCUGGGUGUUUCGUGUCGAAAGACGCGGAUCUGGCGCGGUAAGGGUGAAACGGUGGGGUAAGAGCCCACCAGCAUCCCGGGUGACCGGGAUGGCUAGGUAAACCCCACCCGGAGCAAGGUCAAGACAGGGCCAUCACCGCGAGGUGACGGUUCGCGCAGGCGAUUGAGGGCGGCCCGCCCGAUGCCUGCGGGUAGACCGCUGGAGCCUGCCGGCAACGGUAGGCCGAGAUGGAUGGCCGCCACCGGCAGCACCGGCAACGGUGCCGUCGGGACAAAAUCCGGCGUACAGGUCGACUCGUCCG